rnacentral:rRNA from 1 species
GACGAACCGAGCGAACGUUGUUCGGAAUCACUGGGCUUAAAGGGCGCGUAGGCGGGCUGUCAAGUCUGGGGUGAAAUCCCGCGGCUCAACCGCGGAACGGCCUCGGAUACUGUCGGCCUCGAGGGGGGUAGGGGCAUCUGGAACUGUCGGUGGAGCGGUGAAAUGCGUUGAUAUCGACAGGAACUCCGGUGGCGAAGGCGAGGUGCUGGACCCCUUCUGACGCUGAGGUGCGAAAGCGUGGGGAGCAAACAGG